rnacentral:rRNA from 1 species
UUUUCCUACGGGAGGCAGCAGUGAGGAAUAUUGGUCAAUGGACGGAAGUCUGAACCAGCCAUGCCGCGUGCAGGAAGACGGCUCUAUGAGUUGUAAACUGCUUUUGUACAAGGGUAAACCUGAAUACGUGUAUUUAGUUGAAUGUACUGUAUGAAUAAGCAUCGGCUAACUCCGUGCCAGCAGCCGCGGUAAUACGGAGGAUCCAAGCGUUAUCCGGAUUUAUUGGGUUUAAAGGGUGCGUAGGCGGAUUGUUAAGUUAGAGGUGAAAUGUCUGAGCUCAACUC